rnacentral:rRNA from 1 species
UACAGAGGGUGCGAGCGUUGUCCGGAAUCACUGGGCGUAAAGGGCGCGUAGGCGGCUUGAUAAGGUUGCGGUGAAAGCCCGGGCUCAACCCCGGGUCGGCCGUGGCAACUGUCGAGCUGGAGCACUGUAGAGGCAGGUGGAAUUCCGGGUGUAGCGGUGGAAUGCGUAGAGAUCCGGAAGAACACCGGUGGCGAAGGCGGCCUGCUGGGCAGUGGCUGACGCUGAGGCGCGACAGCGUGGGAGCAACAGG